GUGGGGAAUCUUAGACAAUGGGCGCAAGCCUGAUCUAGCCAUGCCGCGUGAACGAUGAAGGCCUUCGGGUCGUAAAGUUCUUUAGCCGAUGAUUAUAAUGAAUGUAGUCGGAAAAUAAGCCCCGGCUAACUUCGUGCCAGCAGCCGCGGUAAUACGAAGGGGGCGAGCGUUAUUCGGAAUCACUGGGCGUAAAGCGUGCGUAGGCGGUUUUGUAAGUUAGGAGUGAAAGCCCAGGGCUCAACCUUGGAAUUGCUCUUAAAACUGCAAGGAUCGAAUGUCGGAGAGGAUAGCGGAAUUUCCAGUGUAGCAGUGAAAUGCGUAGAUAUUGGAAGGAACACCAGUGGCGUAAGCGGCUAUCUGGACGAGUAUUGACGCUGAGGCACGAAAGCGUGGGGAUCAAACAGGAUUAGAAACCCCUGUAGUCC
rnacentral:rRNA from 1 species